rnacentral:RNase_P_RNA from 1 species
CGCACCGGGGCGCUGGCAACAGGGCUCGCAUGGCAAACCCCACCCGGAGCAAGGCCGAAUAGGGGCCGCGCGCCUGCCUUUCGGGGCAGGUAGGGGUGUUUCGCCCUGAGCGGCCCGGGUUGGCUGCUAGAGCACAGGAGCAAUCCUGCGCCCAGAUGAAUGGCUGCUGCCCCGGAGCCGGUCCGCAAGGAUACCGACCGGGGAUACAGAACCCGGCUUAUGAUGGCCCCCUGAUA